UGGGGAAUAUUGGACAAUGGGCGAAAGCCUGAUCCAGCCAUGCCGCGUGUGUGAAGAAGGCCUUUUGGUUGUAAAGCACUUUAAGCGAGGAGGCGUUACUCGCAGAAUAAGCACCGGCUAACUCUGUGCCAGCAGCCGCGGUAAUACAGAGGGUGCGAGCGUUAAUCGGAUUUACUGGGCGUAAAGCGUGCGUAGGCGGCUUUUAAGUCGGAUGUGAAAUCCCUGAGCUUAACUUAGGAAUUGCAUUCGAUACUGGGAAGCUAGAGUAUGGGAGAGGAUGGUAGAAUUCCAGGUGUAGCGGUGAAAUGCGUAGAGAUCUGGAGGAAUACCGAUGGCGAAGGCAGCCAUCUGGCCUAAUACUGACGCUGAGGUACGAAAGCAU
rnacentral:rRNA from 1 species